CGUCUUUUGCGACACGUCUGUUUAUAAACACGGAAUCCGCUGUUUGUAAACGGUCCGCAUUUUACCCUCACCCAUUUAACGCAGAGAAAAUUCAGCUUGGAACACUACAACUCUUGAUUUUUAGAUUUUGGAAAGCAUACCAAUUAUUGCAACGAUAAUACAAUCUGAUUUUUUUGCUUUAUGGUGUUUUAUAGCAUUUGAUCGAAGGACACUCUGGGCUACACAGACAUGACAUCAUUUGAUGUGUAAAUGCCAUGCAGUACGUACGAGGUGGAUACAAUGUACGGCAUUGGUAUCCUUUUUAUAAGGAAAAACUACUAUUCGUCGAAUAUAAAGAUUUACAGGAACUACAAAUGUUAUAAAUGUUGAGAUUAGAGUAUCGAUGAUGUGGGAAGGCAGAGUUUUCAUUGGAGACCUUCCUAUGGCUUAAUUAGUAUUUUGAAGGAAUAAUGGUUAGUGCCAGGCGGAAAUUAAUAUCUUUGAUUUUGAAUCCCUUUGGUACAGUAACUUGUUGAAGUAACCUGAUAGACAGUAAUGCAUGGUUUUAUAUAUUUUUUUAUUUAUUACUUCAUAUCAUCUGAAAGAAAUUGAAAUAGCAUUUUAAGUUAAUGAUCCACUGGCUAAACAUGGACAGACGGUUUUAGAGUCUAGUGUUUAAUGUCUACCGAAAUCGUUUAUCCGUCUGUAUUCGCUAUGAUUAGUAAAGUGAAAUUUGAGAAUUUUCACGCGCCCAUCAUUUUAGCAAACAACAAACCAACGCUGUAGCACGUCAUUGUGUUUACACGGUGGGCGCGUUCUAUUUCAACUGUUGAUGGAGCUCGACAUCAAACAUAUACGUAUACUAUUAAACCAUUGUGAACAAUUUUUGCGAAAAUAUCAAGUAAUUAUCUUCCCAAUAAAAAGAAUGCUGCAUUUUGUUGUUAUUUCUAGUUGAACACCAGCCCAUAUAUUUAGGCUAUAGGGUUAUAACACAUAAAUUAUGAAAUUAAUAUUUUUUUUCCCCAGAAGAGUAUAGUGUGUGGAUCAAUGCGGAAACAAAUAUAUGCCCUUUGUUUUCGCCUAAUGUGAAUAAUAUCGAUGUUUGAUGGAAUGUUAAGUGUGCGUUUUGGUGGAAAAUGUAAAACAUAUGCCUCGUCGCGCACAGGAUCACUCUGUAAUUUGGACAACACCGGAUCGUGUAAUUUUUCUCGAUUCCAAAGAUUUGCCAUUGAUGUAUGCGCGUUAUACCUGCCUCAAAUGAAUAGGUGCCGUAACGCUGUCCGGAUUAAAAUCUCAGGACACAGCCUCAAAAACAGCACAGGAACUGUGCACUCUAUGCGGUGCUCCCACAGGAGUAGGUUAAUUACAGUCGUCCAGCAAUUAGCCCGACAUUCACGUACAAAGUUAGAGCAGAUCGAGUGACCUACCCUAGUGAAAAAAAAAUAUGCUAAGUAUAAUCCAGGCCAGGGACUUCUUAUUCCAGCCUGCCCCUUAUUUGCUGUAUGGGUGAUUCUAACGAAGUUUUAGUAAACAUGUCCAAGUUAUAUUUUACAGAAACAUUUUAUUAUUAUUACUUAUGAUAUCACACCCUGCCCCUCCUGCAGCCUGUUCUGGUCCUAAGGAUGUCUAGUGGACCUAUUAUGGACUUUUUAAGUACAUUAUCAGGAACCAUUUUAGAUAUUCUGAGAAAAUUUAAAGGACGUUCUGAGAACGUAUUAUGGACAUUCAACCCAUGCUGUCAAUCCUUCAAAAAUUCUUUAUGAUGGCUUGUGGGAAUGGCAAUUAAAUAUAUGUUCUGGGGAUUAUUAGUGUCAUCACAUGGCUCUGUCCUCUACUUAAUUACUCCCAGCUGUUUUGUGUUAGGGCCAGUGUUCCCCAUUUAUAUAAAUGCUCCCUAGGCCUGUGCUCGCUAGUCUGGUCAUUGUGACUUGUCCAUGCCUCUGUGCUUGUGCUGUCUUCCUGAAUAAACUCCCCUACGUGGGGUUUCACCUGCAAAAAUGCUAUAUUGUGGUCCCUUCCCUGUGUACUGUACAUGACAGAUACUGUAUUUUCUCUAAAGGAAGUGAAUGGUACUACAGGGAUAAAUGUUUUAAAAUCUAUUUUGCAUAAUGUUUGUAAUUAUUAAACAAAAUAUCCUGGUGAAUUCUCA